UACGGAGGGGGCGAGCGUUAUUCGGAAUUAUUGGGCGUAAAGGGCGCGUAGGCGGCUGUACAAGUCAAAGGUGAAAUCCCCCGGCUCAACUGAGGAACUGCCUUUGAAACUGUACGGCUUGAGGCCGGGAGGGGGUAGCGGAAUUCCCAGUGUAGCGGUGAAAUGCGUAGAUAUUGGGAGGAACACCAGUGGCGAAGGCGGCUACCUGGACCGGUUCUGACGCUGAUGCGCGAAAGCGUGGGGAGCGAACAGG
rnacentral:rRNA from 1 species